AAGCAACACUCUGUGACAGAUUAUCAAAAUAGUCUGUCACAAUUUGAGCUUGCUAUAGCAAGAAAGUCUAACCUN
rnacentral:snoRNA from 1 species